rnacentral:misc_RNA from 1 species
UCUCCGUUGGUGAACCAGCGGGGGGAUCAUUACCGAGUUUACAACUCCCAAACCCAAUGUGAACCAUACCAAACUGUUGCCUCGGCGGGGUCACGCCCCGGGUGCGUCGCAGCCCCGGAACCAGGCGCCCGCCGGAGGGACCAACCAAACUCUUUCUGUAGUCCCCUCGCGGACGUUAUUUUUACAGCUCUGAGCAAAAAUUCAAAAUGAAUCAAAACUUUCAACAACGGAUCUCUUGGUUCUG